CCAAAUUUGGUUAAAACUGAACUUGAUCCUGCCACGCCAACUCUGGGUAAUGACGGCCAAUGCUCUUCGCCCACAACUUUCCUUGGAAGACUGUCAACCUCCUGCUCUAACGCAGGAUCAUUUGACAUUCGAUCCACUUCACGUUUUGCGGUGCGAUCCACGAGUUUUUAGGUGUCCACCAGCUAUGCAAAUUUUUCUAUACAUGCUCAAAGCAUGGCUAGGCUCGAACCCAUUUGUCACGUCAUUUACUCGACAAACCGCUUUUCGGUCCUGUUGCUGCACAAGGGCCUGGCAAUUUGGCAGGAGUCACGCCGGACAGCGAACGCGAAGAGCUUAAAAUGGCCUUGAUCGCUGCGCAAGAAAGCUCUGUCGUUCAGAUAGUGCUCGAGCUUUGCCUACAGACCCCCGAGGAUGAGGCAAACGAUCAACGGAUUUCAGAACUGCGUGAGGUUCAGAACAUUGUUUGUUCUUUCCUCCAUCAACUUUUUAUUGCA